rnacentral:rRNA from 1 species
AGCGGAAAGUAGCUUGCUACUUUGCCGGCGAGCGGCGGACGGGUGAGUAAUGUCUGGGAAACUGCCUGAUGGAGGGGGAUAACUACUGGAAACGGUAGCUAAUACCGCAUAACGUCGCAAGACCAAAGAGGGGGACCUUCGGGCCUCUUGCCAUCAGAUGUGCCCAGAUGGGAUUAGCUAGUAGGUGGGGUAAUGGCUCACCUAGGCGACGAUCCCUAGCUGGUCUGAGAGGAUGACCAGCCACACUGGAACUGAGACACGGUCCAGACUCCUACGGGAGGCAGCAGUGGGGAAUAUUGCACAAUGGGCGCAAGCCUGAUGCAGCCAUGCCGCGUGUAUGAAGAAGGCCUUCGGGUUGUAAAGUACUUUCAGCGGGGAGGAAGGCGGUGAGGUUAAUAACCUCAUCGAUUGACGUUACCCGCAGAAGAAGCACCGGCUAACUCCGUGCCAGCAGCCGCGGUAAUACGGAGGGUGCAAGCGUUAAUCGGAAUUACUGGGCGUAAAGCGCACGCAGGCGGUCUGUCAAGUCGGAUGUGAAAUCCCCGGGCUCAACCUGGGAACUGCAUUCGAAACUGGCAGGCUAGAGUCUUGUAGAGGGGGGUAGAAUUCCAGGUGUAGCGG